GCGGAAGUCAGGCUGUUUUCUUCCGAGAACAUGCCGCUGGACAGCUCUGGAACAUGUUGGGAACUGAGUAUUUGCAGAGGGCCAGAGUCCAGGGUCUAGGAGGGGUCCUGGAGAGUCACAGAUCUGGAAUUACCAUUUAUCGGAACAAGUCACCUGUACAACAGGACAAAGACAAUGAUGAAUGCAUCAGCUAUUUGAACAAGCAACCCUAGAACACAAGAGACAAGGCAAAUGGAUCUGGAGGCUCAGCAAACACAUUCUUUUCUUCUAGAAGCUCCAAAGGGCUAAUAAACUGUUUACAUUUAAAUAUGACAACGUUCAAGCCGAGUAAGUCAAUGUAAAUGGGUUAUGUUGGAUACCUUCUCUUCCACAGCGUCUUCCCGGGGAGUCAUGGCAUCAGGACUUUCACACAGGAAGCAAUUCCAAAGGUGGGAAACGAUUUCAAAGUUCUCCUGCCUGGUGGGGGCCCGCCACACUUCUACCCACAUUCUCUCUCCUGAAGCAGGCUCCAAUCAAC